rnacentral:rRNA from 1 species
GGCUCACCAAGGCGUCGACGGGUAGCCGGCCUGAGAGGGUGACCGGCCACACUGGGACUGAGACACGGCCCAGACUCCUACGGGAGGCAGCAGUGGGGAAUAUUGCACAAUGGGCGCAAGCCUGAUGCAGCAACGCCGCGUGAGGGAUGACGGCCUUCGGGUUGUAAACCUCUUUUAGCAGGGAAGAAGCGAGAGUGACGGUACCUGCAGAAAAAGCACCGGCUAACUACGUGCCAGCAGCCGCGGUAAUACGUAGGGUGCAAGCGUUAUCCGGAAUUAUUGGGCGUAAAGAGCUCGUAGGCGGUUUGUCGCGUCUGCUGUGAAAUCUGGGGGCUCAACCCCCAGCCUGCAGUGGGUACGGGCAGACUAGAGUGCGGUAGGGGAGAUUGGAAUUCCUGGUGUAGCGGUGGAAUGCGCAGAUAUCAGGAGGAACACCGAUGGCGAAGGCAGAUCUCUGGGCCGUAACUGACGCUGAGGAGCGAAAGGGUGGGGAGCAAACAGGCUUAGAUACCCUGGUAGUCCACCCCGUAAACGUUGGGAACUAGUUGUGGGGUCCAUUCCACGGAUUCCGUGACGCAGCUAACGCAUUAAGUUCCCCGCCUGGGGAGUACGGCCGCAAGGCUAAAACUCAAAGGAAUUGACGGGGACCCGCACAAGCGGCGGAGCAUGCGGAUUAAUUCGAUGCAACGCGAAGAACCUUACCAAGGCUUGACAUAUACGAGAACGGGCCAGAAAUGGUCAACUCUUUGGACACUCGUAAACAGGUGGUGCAUGGUUGUCGUCAGCUCGUGUCGUGAGAUGUUGGGUUAAGUCCCGCAACGAGCGCAACCCUCGUUCUAUGUUGCCAGCACGUAAUGGUGGGAACUCAUGGGAUACUGCCGGGGUCAACUCGGAGGAAGGUGGGGAUGACGUCAAAUCAUCAUGCCCCUUAUGUCUUGGGCUUCACGCAUGCUACAAUGGCCGGUACAAUGGGCUGCAAUACCGUGAGGUGGAGCGAAUCCCAAAAAGCCGGUCCCAGUUCGGAUUGAGGUCUGCAACUCGACCUCAUGAAGUCGGAGUCGCUAGUAAUCGCAGAUCAGCAACGCUGCGGUGAAUACGUUCCCGGGUCUUGUACACACCGCCCGUCAAGUCAUGAAAGUCGGUAACACCUGAAGCCGG